rnacentral:rRNA from 1 species
CAAGGGAUCGUUUGGCUCCCGCGUCGAGGAAGGGCGCCCUGGCCGGCGACAGGCCCCGGAGCAAGCGCACCGACGGGGCGUGCCCGAAUGGUGCUCGGCGAGCACGGACACUCCUCGGAAUUAAGCAUAUGAAUAAAGGAAGGAAAAGAAACCAACAGGGAUUCCGCAGUAGCGGCGAGUGAACAGGGAACAGUCCGCCGGUGUAAUUCGCGAGAAGAUGUCGGGACUCAUGAUACGCCGGAAGCGGCUGCGAUGCCGCGCCACAGAGGGUGACGGCCCCGUACGGCCAAACAACCAACCAAACAUGAGUAGCCGUGCUCGGUAGUGCACGGUGAAGAGGUGGCAGUGUCCAUCUAAGACUAAAUACAGCGGGAGACCGAUAGCAGACAAGUAGGCCGACCGAAAGCGUGAAAUUGUGUGUGGAUCCGAGCAGAUCGGACCCGUCUUGAAACACGGACC